CGCCGCGCAGGCCAGCAUUGCCAUCAGCAUCCCACCCCCCUAAAACGCCACCCGGCGGCCUCCUCCUCCUCCCGGUCUCACGCCGCCUCCGCCGCGCUGUGUUUGAGGGGAUGAGGAUGAGGAUGGAGGAAGGUUCCAUUAAAAGCAAGAGGCUGCCUCAUCUCCAGCUUGCUUAGGACUUGCUGAUGCCCAACACCUAAAGAGGAAGGCAUGGAUUCAUCAGACACUGGACUUUGCAGAUCAGGAGAGUGAGAGAAACAGGCAAGGCAGGAACCUACAUCUACAGAUCAUGUACAAAGUCUGUGAGCUUAUAAAUACACCCGUUCUCACAGGACCCCCACAACAGCCUUUAGUAUUGCAGCCCUAUUUCUCCAUGACAUCCACAGCGCUGCUCGGCUCACACAGACACCGUGCGCAGAGUUACUGCACUGAGGACAGACUGAAAGUUUUGCUGUUCUGUUUUCUGAAUCCCCGCAGUUGUUGAGUGAAGAGUAAUUGCAACUGAGGAAAAGCAAGUGGAGUAUUAGCCUUUAAAUUAAGUUAUUUUCACUGUGAUAUUUGAAAGAGGAUCCUAUUCUUAAGUUACCACUUGAGCGUACAGGAAAUUCUGCUAUCUAAAAAGUUGCUUGGGUGACUAAAAUGGAAAUAUAUUGAGCACUUUAGUCCUUGUCCUCGUGGCAUCAGGGAGCCCCAUGUGUAUAUGCUGUCAUAAACCAGAAAUAGCAUAUAGCAACAUACAUAAGGUUCUGAAUUCAGAACACUAUGCAUCGGCUUCCAGCACUGCAAAAUAA